CCAACAAGAGAUGCCCUCUCACAGUGUACUUUGAGCUCCAGUAACUGGAGAUUGUGCCUGGAUAUGGUCAAGUUGAUUUUUGCAGCUACUCAGAUGCAUGGGUGGACCUGGACACUUUGUCGGACAUGACCAAGUCCAGGACACUCCAUUAGAUUGGGCUGCUGGGACUUUUGAACUUCUGGAUCAGUCUGCUCUUACGAGUCCCUCCGUAUUUAAAGCCACACUGCGGUGGAUGCAGACCACCAGAACUCUCCAGGCAAAGUACUGAACACGCCAAGGUACACAGGCCCCCAAACCGAAACGGCAACCUUCAGUAGUGCUGUCUACCACAGAGGAGCAGAGUGGAGUAGAACGAGGGAGCCAUGGAUGGACAGCAUUCAGACAGGUAGUUUGUACAUUCACACCUGUAUUUGUAGGCUCUAUAUAUUGUUGUUGUUGUUGUUGUAAACAAAAG
ensembl:lncRNA